rnacentral:snoRNA from 1 species
GGCUCCUGUGAUGAGACCUUUACCGCCCCAGUCUGAUUUCUGUGACUGAGUGGUCCCUCUGAGGCA